rnacentral:ribozyme from 1 species
CACUUCCGCCGGCUUUCAUGGACCAACCACAGCCGGUUUACGGAAUCGACAGACACCUUGACCACGCAAUCGUCAUCGUCGAGCACAUGUACGGAGUCUUCAUCCAUCCAUCUUGCUGCCAGGCCCAUAAAAAGGUUGAGACGGGUCACGUUCCAUGAGACCAAUGAAGUGCGGUUUAU